rnacentral:rRNA from 1 species
CAGCAGCCGCGGGAAUACGGAGGGGGCUAGCGUUGUUCGGAAUUACUGGGCGUAAAGCGCACGUAGGCGGCUUGGUAAGUUAGAGGUGAAAGCCCGGAGCUCAACUCCGGAAUCGCCUUUAAGACUGCCGAGCUAGUAGGUGAGAGAGGUAAGUGGAAUUCCGAGUGUAGAGGUGAAAUUCGUAGAUAUUCGGAAGAACACCAGUGGCGAAGGCGGCUUACUGGCUCAUUUUAGACGCUGAGGUGCGAAAGCGUGGGGAGCAAACAGGAUUAGAUACCCCGGUAGUCCCUGUCUCUUAUAC